GCUCCAGUGGCGCAAUCGGUUAGCACGCGGUACUUAUAAUGCCGAGGUUGUGAGUUCGAGCCUCACCUGGAGCA